rnacentral:misc_RNA from 1 species
AUCCAAUCUAAGAAUUCUUCUAUGUUGACAUCUCCUUAAAAAUUAGGAAUGUCAGUUUUGAAUCAAUUUUUUCAUACUUCCCAUACGUACCUCUUCUCCUCACAUUGCUGUUGAUGCUUGGGAUAGUCAUGGAGGUCAUAAACAUCCUCCUCUUUCGAGUCUUCAUUAUAGGCAUAUUGUCUAUGAGCAGAAAUUGGUUAGUAAAUAGGGUCACCAUGAGCAGCACUAUCUCUUGGCCUUCUAGUUUUUACUCAGUUCCUGUUUGCAUUGAUUCCCAAAGCACUAAGGCUAUCUGCAAUUUCUUUGAAGCGUCUCUUGAUAAUGCUCACUUUUGAGAUCCAUCUAUUGCUCCAGAAGUUGUUCCAAUCAUUGCAAUGUGUUGUCUCUAAGGUCAAGGGCUCUAGUUCCCCGAUUACUGUCAUGGGAAACUGAUGUAAUUGCCACCUCUGACAGGGUAAGCCAUCUCGAUUGGGGUGAUUUCCCAACUCUCAUAUCACCUAACGCAGCAUGAAGCUUAAGGAAAGAACUCACACUCGCACACAUUAUACAAGUAUUGAGGAAAAAAAACUGCAGAGUUUUAUAAAUCAAAUCUCUAAAACUAGUAGGAAAUUAUCUAAUUCCUAGAUGGAAUUGGAAAUCAAUAUAUAUAUAAAAACUUAAUUAGAAUAGGAAACAUUAA